rnacentral:rRNA from 1 species
AUUGAACGCUGGCGGCAGGCCUAACACAUGCAAGUCGAGCGAAUGAAGGGAGCUUGCUCCUGGAUUCAGCGGCGGACGGGUGAGUAAUGCCUAGGAAUCUGCCUGGUAGUGGGGGAUAACGUCCGGGAACGGGCGCUAAUACCGCAUACGUCCUGAGGGAGAAAGUGGGGGAUCUUCGGACCUCACGCUAUCAGAUGAGCCUAGGUCGGAUUAGCUAGUUGGUGGGGUAAAGGCCUACCAAGGCGACGAUCCGUAACUGGUCUGAGAGGAUAAUCAGUCACACUGGAACUGAGACACGGUCCAGACUCCUACGGGAGGCAGCAGUGGGGAAUAUUGGACAAUGGGCGAAAGCCUGAUCCAGCCAUGCCGCGUGUGUGAAGAAGGUCUUCGGAUUGUAAAGCACUUUAAGUUGGGAGGAAGGGCAGUAAGUUAAUACCUUGCUGUUUUGACGUUACCAACAGAAUAAGCACCGGCUAACUUCGUG